GGUGAACGCUGGCGGCAUGCCUUACACAUGCAAGUCGAACGGCAGCACGGACUUCGGUCUGGUGGCGAGUGGCGAACGGGUGAGUAAUAUAUCGGAACAUACCCUAGAGUGGGGGAUAACGUAGCGAAAGUUACGCUAAUACCGCAUACGAUCUAAGGAUGAAAGCGGGGGAUCGCAAGACCUCGUGCUCAUGGAGUGGCCGAUAUCUGAUUAGCUAGUUGGUGAGGUAAAGGCUUACCAAGGCGACGAUCAGUAGCUGGUUUGAGAGAACGACCAGCCACACUGGAACUGAGACACGGUCCAGACUCCUACGGGAGGCAGCAGUGGGGAAUUUUGGACAAUGGGCGCAAGCCUGAUCCAGCAAUGCCGCGUGAGUGAAGAAGGCCUUCGGGUUGUAAAGCUCUUUUGUCAGGGAAGAAACGGUGAGUCCUAAUACGGCUUGCUAAUGACGGUACCUGAAGAAUAAGCACCGGCUAACUACGUGCCAGCCGCCGCAGUAA
rnacentral:rRNA from 1 species